AAGCGCGGCGACCGUGCCAACCAGCAUCAGCACCACAUCAGCGGCGUCCGCGUUCUUGAACAGGUCAUGGAACGACGCCUUACCACCCUUGGUCAUCUUCUUCCUGCCUUUCUCUUCCUCUUCUCCACCCUUGACUCCACCAUCAGCUCUUGCAUUAUUUGUUUCUCCCAUGCUAUGCCUACCAGGUAAUUGACUAGCGCCGUGUGUCUAUUGCUCUAGCUGCUGAGUGAACUUCUGCUUUUAUAGUGUCAUUGUCUUGUUAGUUCACAGGUAAGUCCAUUCACAAGAGCAACCAUAAAGUUAGAUGUGGUUGACAGUUGGGUAAAAAACGGAAAAUGACACAGAUAAAUGUGUCAACAAGGUGCGAUGCCAACCUAAAGACGAGUAGGAUAACAAAACUGGCCACAAGAGCUGCAUAUCCUAUUCGCUCACCCUUCGGAGUGCACUCCUUCACAGAUGACCUUUUCCCAUUUGAGUCAGUAACUCACCAUGAUUUUUUGUUUUUGCUGGAUUUUUAACAUUAGAUUUCAACUUCAAACACAAAAGCUGUUUGAAGGAACCUGUCUCUCUUUUUCUUUGUUCACUAUCCUCUUCUUCUAUUGCUUCUCAAGUUUUUCUCUGUUUUUUACUCUCAAGUACAUGCAGCUGUCUAAAUAAUACAUAGACUGAGUAAACAUUUGAGAAUUAUGAAGUAACAAAAUCCCCAGAGCUUUCAUUGCACUCGCCAUGGUGGUGAAAUAAUUUAUGUACCGAUCGGUUUCAGUGCCAGAACCACUAGUAGAAAGUGCUUGAAUGAUGUUAGGAGUGCACCCUUAAUUAAAGGCUGUCUUUGUCCUGCAGACCCAAACUGAUUCAACAUUGUGAAACCAGAUCUUCUUCGCCGGGAAAGCGACGGCCGAUGAAAACCCCUCUUCCUUGACAGCGGCUGGCCUAGGGGUAAACUCUGCCGAUAAUUUUAAUGCGAGGAGCUGUUUUUUUUGCAGGUGUCCACAUCAGAGGAUGACUAGGACACUUGGUGCAUCAGCUCGGUCGUACGCAUCGGCUUGGCUGCGUCAGCUCAGAUGAGCUUAGUAGGCCUUGUCUUGCCUGGCAGUGGCAGGAGGUAUCGCAGGGUGUUCAGCGCCCAGAUUUGUAGCUAGUCGCUCGCGCCACGAUGGCGAUCUGGCAGCUGCUGGAGUGAGCCAAAUGGAAGAUCCCGGGGGACCUGAGCGUUUGGAUGCUUGGAGCAUCAGCUCUGUUCGGAUGUGUGUGAGAGCUUCUGCAAAUGGCAUGGCCUGGCCCCGCUCUCUUUUUGUUCUUAUCCUGCUUAUGCAGAUUAGGGAUAGCGUGUAGGACCUAAGUAGGGGUACUGUGUAUUUCUAUAUUUUUUUAUUAGAGGAGUGUAUUUGUAUUUGUUUCUGGCCGAAGAUAUAUACUACUGCUUCAUUGAUUAUGUUUGUAUUGCAAAGAAAAUCUCACAUCCAAAUUA